GAGACCGGCGCACGGGUGCGUAACGCGUAUGCAAUCUGCCUUUCACAGAGGGAUAGCCCAGAGAAAUUUGGAUUAAUACCUCAUAGUAUUAUAGAGUGGCAUCACUUUAUAAUUAAAGUCACAACGGUGAAAGAUGAGCAUGCGUCCCAUUAGCUAGUUGGUAAGGUAACGGCUUACCAAGGCUACGAUGGGUAGGGGUCCUGAGAGGGAGAUCCCCCACACUGGUACUGAGACACGGACCAGACUCCUACGGGAGGCAGCAGUGAGGAAUAUUGGUCAAUGGACGCAAGUCUGAACCAGCCAUGCCGCGUGCAGGAUGACGGUCCUAUGGAUUGUAAACUGCUUUUGUACGGGAAGAAACACUC
rnacentral:rRNA from 1 species